rnacentral:rRNA from 1 species
UGGGGAAUUUUGGACAAUGGGCGAAAGCCUGAUCCAGCAAUGCCGCGUGUGUGAAGAAGGCCUUCGGGUUGUAAAGCACUUUUGUCCGGAAAGAAAUCCUUGGCUCUAAUACAGUCGGGGGAUGACGGUACCGGAAGAAUAAGCACCGGCUAACUACGUGCCAGCAGCCGCGGUAAUACGUAGGGUGCAAGCGUUAAUCGGAAUUACUGGGCGUAAAGCGUGCGCAGGCGGUUUGCUAAGACCGAUGUGAAAUCCCCGGGCUCAACCUGGGAACUGCAUUGGUGACUGGCAGGCUAGAGUAUGGCAGAGGGGGGUAGAAUUCCACGUGUAGCAGUGAAAUGCGUAGAGAUGUGGAGGAAUACCGAUGGCGAAGGCAGCCCCCUGGGCCAAUACUGACGCUCAUGCACGAAAGCGUGGGGAGCAAACAGGAUUAGAUACCCCUGGUAGUCCACGCCCUAAACGAUGUCAACUAGUUGUUGGGGGAUUCAUUUCCUUAGUAACGUAGCUAACGCGUGAAGUUGACCGCCUGGGGAGUACGGUCGCAAGAUUAAAACUUAAAGGAAUUGACGGGGUCAUAGCUGUUUCCU